AACGGCUCCGACAGUGAGGGACGAAAGCUGGGGAGCAAACCGGAUUAGAUACCCGGGUAGUCCCAGCCGUAAACGAUGCGCGUUAGGUGUAUCGGUGACCACGAGUCACCGAGGUGCCGAAGAGAAAUCGUGAAACGUGCCGCCUGGGAAGUACGGUCGCAAGGCUGAAACUUAAAGGAAUUGGCGGGGGAGCACCACAACAGGUGGAGCCUGCGGUUUAAUCGGACUCAACGCCGGAAAGCUCACCGGAUAAGACAGCUGAAUGAUAGCCGGGUUGAAGACUCUGCUUGACUAGCU
rnacentral:rRNA from 1 species